rnacentral:rRNA from 1 species
GUUCUAUAACAAAACAAUUCGCCAGAGAACUACUAGCAACAGCUUAAAACUCAAAGGACUUGGCGGUGCUUUAUAUCCCUCUAGAGGAGCCUGUUCUAUAAUCGAUAAACCCCGAUAAACCUCACCACU